rnacentral:ncRNA from 1 species
AGGCUGAGACCUGAUGUCGAGCCGAUUGUGGUGAAGUGGAUGAUCCUAUGCUGUCGAGAAAAGCCUCUAGCGAGUUUCAUGGCGGCCCGUACCCUAAACCGACUCAGGUGGUCAGGUAGAGAAUACCGAGGCGUUCGGGUGAACUAUGGUUAAGGAACUCGGCAAAAUGCCCCCGUAACUUCGGGAGAAGGGGGGCCACAUCUGGUGAUGAGCUUUG